rnacentral:lncRNA from 1 species
GAGGCCUGAGGGCGGCCGUGAGGAUAAUCUGCCUCUUUAGUGAAAGCACCUCCUCUUCUACUGAAAGCAGGACAACAGGGAGCAGCUCAGAAGGGACCAGGCAGCACCUCAGCGACCGCCCAGCAGAUGGCAGCACAGGCACACGGACAGACCGGGACACCUUCGCCACAGAAUUCAUAAUAAUAAUAAAAAAAAUAAAAUGCAAAGUCUCUUCCUCUCAACUCAAUUUCAGUGCUGGUUAUGAGGAAUCAGGAUAAGUUACAUUCUUUGUAUCGUGCCUCCUGGUAUUGCCAACUUACCUUUUCCUGCAGGAAUUCCCAUCAUUUCUAGGCAAAGCAAAGACUGAAUAUUCUGCCCGUUUCAUUUGCCCCAAAGGUGUUUAACUGCAGCCCUUCAUUUGCAGACAACACUCGGGUGAGAAAUAGUAUUGUCUAAGCCACUUGAGAUACAAUUUUUCUGUUUCACCUCUCUCACUAUAUAAAAUUUGAUGUUUUAUGAUUCACAAGGAGUAGUGAAAUGGAUCUAAGGAAGUAUUGAUUACAAGCCACUGAAAUUGCCUGUUAGAUUGUUGCCCUUCAGUUUAAAUACAACUUUAAAUAAUUUCUUAGUUUAAGCAUCCCGUUAUUCUCCCCAAAUCUGCCACUUUUAUAAUGGUUACUAUAGAUUCUGUCCGUCCUUCAGGGGAUGACUGGAUAUUACAUGUUCUUCAAAUCACUGAGUGAACAGUGAGAAGAUUAAUACUUUUUCAUAGAC